AGAGUUUGAUCCUGGCUCAGGAUGAACGCUAGCGACAGGCUUAACACAUGCAAGUCGAGGGGCAGCACAGGUAGCAAUACCGGGUGGCGACCGGCGCACGGGUGAGUAACGCGUAUGCAACUUACCUAUCAGAGGGGGAUAACCCGGCGAAAGUCGGACUAAUACCGCAUGAAGCAGGGGCCCCGCAUGGGGAUAUUUGCUAAAGAUUCAUCGCUGAUAGAUAGGCAUGCGUUCCAUUAGGCAGUUGGCGGGGUAACGGCCCACCAAACCGACGAUGGAUAGGGGUUCUGAGAGGAAGGUCCCCCACAUUGGUACUGAGACACGGACCAAACUCCUACGGGAGGCAGCAGUGAGGAAUAUUGGUCAAUGGGCGUAAGCCUGAACCAGCCAAGUCGCGUGAGGGAUGAAGGUUCUAUGGAUCGUAAACCUCUUUUAUAAGGGAAUAAAGUGCGGGACGUGUCCCGUUUUGUAUGUACCUUAUGAAUAAGGAUCGGCUAACUCCGUGCCAGCAGCCGCGGUAAUACGGAGGAUCCGAGCGUUAUCCGGAUUUAUUGGGUUUAAAGGGAGCGUAGGUGGACAGUUAAGUCAGUUGUGAAAGUUUGCGGCUCAACCGUAAAAUUGCAGUUGAUACUGGCUGUCUUGAGUACAGUAGAGGUGGGCGGAAUUCGUGGUGUAGCGGUGAAAUGCUUAGAUAUCACGAAGAACUCCGAUUGCGAAGGCAGCUCACUGGACUGCAACUGACACUGAUGCUCGAAAGUGUGGGUAUCAAACAGGAUUAGAUACCCUGGUAGUCCACACAGUAAACGAUGAAUACUCGCUGUUUGCGAUAUACAGUAAGCGGCCAAGCGAAAGCAUUAAGUAUUCCACCUGGGGAGUACGCCGGCAACGGUGAAACUCAAAGGAAUUGACGGGGGCCCG
rnacentral:rRNA from 1 species